AACCUAAAAAAUUUGGCGGUGUUUUAAAUAAUUGGAGGAACCUGUUAUUUAAAUGAUAUUCCACAUCAAAUCUUACCAAAAUUUUGUUUGUAUAUCAUUGUUUGAGGUAAUAUUUUAAAAUUAUUAUCAAACUUAAUUUAAUUUUUAAAAUCAAAUCAAGGUGCAGCAUAUUUUGGUUAUAAUGGGUUACAAUACAUAUUAUAUAAUACGAAAAGAUAAUGAAAUAAAAUUAGAAGGUGGAUUCAAAAGUAAAAUUAAAUUAAAAAGUUAAUUUGAUUAAAAGUUUAAAACAUGCACACAU
rnacentral:rRNA from 1 species